UCAGAGACUGGGCAUAGAUCAGGCCCAGACCCUGAGUUUCAUCCACAGCACUGGGCGGGGGGUGGGGGACAAGAAAGCAAGCUGAGGAUGAUUUUAGUAUCAAGAAAAAAUAUGCUUCAAUACUAGGAAUUAUCGAACCCCAAAGUAAAAAUAAUUAGUAUAGUCUUCAAAUAUAUUUGUAUGUGUGGCAAAAUAUAGAUAACAUUUUAACCUAAAGUACAUGAUUUAGUGCAUUAAGUACGUUCACUAUGUGUGAAUAGCCAUCCCCACUACACCUAAACCUUACGUCAUCUCCAACAAAAACUACCUACUCAGUAACUCCCUCUUUGAAGUUUACCCUUUCGUUUUUCUUUUUUGGAGCUCUGGGUAGAUGCUGGUUCAUGUUCCAUCACUGAGCUAUAUUCCCAGUCUUAUUUACUUAUUUAGGUACUGGGGAUUGAAUCCAGGGGUUCUCCACAACUGAGCUACAUUCCCAACCAUUUAUUUAUUUGUUUGUUUGUUUAUUUAGGAGACAGGGUAUCACUAAAUCGCUGAGACUUGUCUUGAACUUGUGAUCCUCCUUCCUCAGCCUCCUGAGUGCUAGGAUUACAGACAUGUUCCACCAUGCUCACCUAGAGGGAUCUUUUAAUCAGAUCCAGGGCUGGGGCUGUAGCUUAGUGGUAGAGUACUUGCUUCCAUCCCUC
rnacentral:lncRNA from 1 species